CCUACGGGAGGCAGCAGUGGGGGAUAUUGGACAAUGGGGGGAACCCUGAUCCAGCGACGCCGCGUGAGUGAAGAAGUAUCUCGGUAUGUAAAGCUCUAUCAGCAGGGAAGCAAAGAAUGACGGUCCCUGAAUAAGCAGCCCCGGCUAACUACGUGCCAGCAGCCGCGGGAAUACGUAGGGGGCAAGCGUUAUGCGGAUUUACUGGGUGUAAAGGGGGCGCAGACGGCAAUGCAAGCGUGGAGUGAAAGGCGGGGGCCCAACCCCCGGACUGCUCGGGGAACUGUAUAGCUAGAGUGCAGGAGAGGCAAGUGGAAUUCCUGGUGUAGCGGUGAAAUGCGUAGAUAUUAGGAAGAACACCAGUGGCGAAGGCAGCUUGCUCGACGGUAACUGACGUUGAGGCACGAAAGCGUGGGGAGCGAACAGGAUUAGAUACCCCAGUAGUC
rnacentral:rRNA from 1 species